rnacentral:rRNA from 1 species
UACAGAGGUGGCAAGCGUUGUUCGGAAUUACUGGGCGUAAAGGGCGCGUAGGCGGCUCGACAAGUCCCGCGUGAAAGCCCCCGGCUCAACUGGGGAACUGCGCGGGAAACUGUCGGACUUGAGUUCGGGAGAGGGAAGCGGAAUUCCGGGUGUAGCGGUGAAAUGCGUAGAUAUCCGGAGGAACACCGGUGGCGAAGGCG